CUCACAUGUACGCACAUACACAUGCACAUAACCUUGCCAGGGCUACUCCCUGGAGGUUAUACUCGCACAUGAACAUACCAAAAGUCAUGCAAAAUACGCCUACAGAUGUAAGUUAGUAAAGUUAAUUAUGAAGUAUCUAAUACACACAAUCGUAAGUUUCAGGCAAUACAAUUGGGAAUAAUGCCGAAGCACAGGCAAAAAUCCAGGCAUGUGGACAGAAACAGUUCGCAGCAGGAAAGGAAUGCUAGGACGCAGCCGAGGUCCAGAACUCCAGCCGUGCGUCGUAGCAGGUCACGUGAACGACGGUCGAGGAGAAGUAAGCGGGCGAGUAAGCGAUCUUGUGAGCAACGACAGCUCCGGAGCCCUUCAGUGCACGAGGUAGGAGAGAAUUCAAGAACUACUCAUAAAGGCUUAUCUAAAAGACGUAGAGUACAAAGUCAAUCAUCGCUGUCAAGUUCGGAGGAAAGGUCGCCUCGUAGGAAGAGAAGUGCUAAUUUAAGUAAUCUAGAUAUAGUUGAAAAACUUUUAAACGUUAUAGCAAGUAAAAAUACCACUGACGUAGAUAAA